GGAGGUAUAGCUCAGCUGUAGAGCACGAGCUUGGCAUGCACGGGGUCCUGGGUUCCAUCCUCCGUACCUCCA
rnacentral:tRNA from 1 species